CAGCGCGUCGAAAUGACUGUGACUUAUGCGUAUUUGAUGUCAUAUCACAGCCAUUUUGACGAGUUUGG
rnacentral:pre_miRNA from 12 species